rnacentral:rRNA from 1 species
UACAGAGGUCUCAAGCGUUGUUCGGAUUCAUUGGGCGUAAAGGGUGCGUAGGUGGCGCGGUAAGUCGGGGUGUGAAAUUUCGGAGCUUAACUCCGAAACUGCAUUCGAUACUGCCGUGCUUGAGGACUGGAGAGGAGACUGGAAUUUACGGUGUAGCAGUGAAAUGCGUAGAGAUCGUAAGGAAGACCAGUGGCGAAGGCGGGUCUCUGGACAGUUCCUGACACUGAGACGAAGGCCAGGGGGAGCAAACGGG